rnacentral:lncRNA from 1 species
AAUUGGAAAGAAAGCUAUUUAAAAAAGGAAUAAUUACUUAUAUAUCUCUCUCGAAACUUAAAAAAAUCUAAUUUAUUCUUUUUUUUUUUACUUUUAAUAACUCCUUAUAUAUUCAUCCGUUAUUCAAAAAUAUCACCGCAGUUACCACCCGUUAAGUUAUCCCGACUUAAGCGUCAGUUAAAUAUCUACCAAAGUUAAAAAAUUAAAAUACCUUUUUUGUCCUUAAUUUAAGGAUAAAUAAAAAAAGUUGGUGAUAAUAGAGAAGUAUAUUUGAAAAGUUCAAAAAUCAAAUGCUUCUGCUGUCCAUAACUUAAGGGCAAAUAAAAAAAAAAUUAUGAUGAUAGAAAGAUAUAUUUAAAAGGGCAAAAUGAUAAUUUUAUAGAAAUAACGAUUAUAGUUAACGGUUUAUUAAUAAAACUUAACUCUUUAUAGAUAUAUUUAAAAUAACUUGAAACACAAAAACAAAAAAAAAAAAAAAAACCCCAAAAAUAAAGAAUUAAAUAAUAGUAGAUUGUAAAAAUGGCACCAAAAAAAAAGAAAGAAAAAAAAAAAUAGUGAGAGAAAGAAGUGGUGGAGAGAGAAGCAAGUUUAUGCUUGUCUCCCUCCCAUGCAUAUUCUCUCUCUCUCUAAAAACCCAAGUCAAAUUUCUCUCUCUUCACCCACAAAAGUAGAGCUACAGAUAAAUAAUAUGGAGGAAGAUUCUAUUCUUUAAUCUCGUCUCAUCCCAAAACAGAGGAUACCCAUCUCGUUUUCUGUUCCUCUGACUUGGUUGUUUGUUGUUUCCACCACCUUUCUCCUUGGAAUUUAUUCAGUUUUCUCAAAAAAAAAAAAAAGACGAAUCAAAUGAAUCCAAAGAAACUUUUGGAUGAGUCACGUGCGCGUCCUUUGAUUCUGAUACUGUAGAUGAUGGUUCUUGGGUUUCAAUGAUAUUAAGCUUCAAAAGAUGAGAUUUUGUGUCUAAGUUGUGAAAUCUCUGAGGUAUCGUUUGGUUCGAGGGUAAGCAAAAAGUGACUAUUCCAAGAAUAGAUAUAAAUUGAGGUAUAAGUGGAGAUUAGAUCAAUUUUGUAUUUGAAUGAAAAUUAGAUUAUUUCUAGGAAUUAAAAAAAAUAGCAUUUGAUUAGGUAAGAUGGAAUAAAAAAAAUAGUAAAUUUUUUUACAUAAAAAAUAAUGAUAUUACUUUCUUAUUAUAUUUGAAUUUGAAUUUUUAAUUUUUAAAUCUAAAAUUUUAAUUUUGAAAUUUCAAAAUUUAAAAUUUAAAAUUUAAAAUUCAAAUUCUCAAAUUUUAAAUUCAAAAUUUUAAAUUUUAAAUUUUUUGGUCAAAUUUCAUCCCAUUUGGCGAAAUAGCAGGAAUAAAAUAUUCCGGGAAUAACAAGAUUUAACCGGGAUAAAAUAUUCCGGCCAAAUUUCACCCCGUUUGGCAAAAUAGCGGGAAUAACUUUUGUUAUCCCCGCUUAUCAUACGAAUCAAAUGGUGCCUUAAAGAAAGAAGUUUGAAAAAGGUAAUAUUUUGGUGCGGUAAAACGCGUCUAAGCUGUCAGAGUUGAGAACUUAAGUUUAAAGGGAAAACAGAGAGAGAGAGAGAGAGAGAGAGAGAGCUCCAAAACGGUGGUAUGUUGAUGCAUUGAAACUAAUUUAAUCUCUCAAAGGCGAGAUUUUUACCCAUUUGAAUGCCAAAAAACAGAGCAUCUACAGAGAGAUAAACAGAGAGAGAGAGAGAGAGAGCGCUCUUAAAGGUGAUAUUUUGAUACAUUGAAACGAGAGUUAAAUCUCAAAGGUGAGAUUUUUAGAGAGAGAGAGAGAGAGAGAGAGAGCGUGAGAGAGAUGAG